AUACAAGUGCUGAUUGAAGUCUGCUGUCCCACCCACCGACGCCGGCACCGGGCGACUGCUAACAUGUCAGACACAAGAGACGCGGCCCAGCCGCGGCGUGGCAACUUUGCCAGUCGAAAAGCACGCGGCGAGACGGGGGGCAGCAAGAGCAGCAGCAGCAGUAGCAAGAGCAAGGAGCACAGCUACGAUGCCCGCCGCUAUCACCAGAACGCCAACACGCACGGCAUUCACGCACUGCGCACGUUCGACUGCCCUGUCUGUGACUCCAGGAACACGAUCCGCGUCACUCUCAACCCGCGGCUCGGUCAAGGAACGGUUUGCUGCACCUACUGCUGCUCACUGCGGCCCGCACCACCCGAUCUGCCGUACCCCAGCGUUCAGAACUUUGUUCCGUCGCUGGAGAACAAGGCAGACGUAUUCUUUCGCUUCAACGAGCAGUACGCCGCACUGCUGCGGCAACACGAGAAUGAGCGAGUCGGGGAAUCCGCUGGCCUUUCCUCGUGUUUGGCGACUGUCGAUAACACGCGCAAGCGUGCUAACAAGGACGACGGCGAAAGCGGCGGACGCACGCGCGCGCCGAGAGGAGAGAGCAUGGACGAGGAUGGGUUGUUCGGCGAUUGUGCGCUUCGCAUGGACACCGGCUUGCUCGACAACGCAGUGGACCAGCACGUAACGGGCGCGCCGGCCAUGUUCGGCAGCGAUGACGAUGGCGGCGGCAACAUCGUGGCGGACGCCGACCCGGUGAAUCCGAAAGGGGUUUCGACGCCGUCACCACCGCGGCCGGAUGGUGCCGACAUGCCGGAGAGCAACUUCAUGAACGUUGCCGUGAUCACGGGAGUAGAUGAGGCGUUCGCCGCGCACGCGACUGAUGACGUGAACGGAAUAGGAGAGGCGGACGCGGAGGAGGUGGAUGUCGCUGCGUUCUUUGCCGAUUCCGAUUGAUGGAGCGGAGGGGUCUAGGAGGUUAAUGGCGAUGUGAUGGUUGUCGGCGGCAGUUUUGCACGUGCGUCUCUCCCUCUCCGAUUCCCCUCUCUCCCUCACACACACGCACAUGGCUGUCUGUCUGUAUCUUUGGGUGUGGGUGUGGUGGUGUGCCUCGAUCGUGUUGCGCGUGUCACGGCUGUCUUUCACAAGGUGUAUCUGUUCGCUGAGAACGACGGCGACGAACGCCCAAAGGGACACGGGCGAGCAAAGGAAGUGAGGAACAGAGAUGGAAGGUGGAUGAUGUGCGGUGUAGCUGUGGCGGACGUCCUCUUGCAGCUGCGCGCCACGCACACACACACAUACACACACAC
rnacentral:misc_RNA from 1 species